GCGCACCAGUCGAGAAACCUCCGCAAUGCGGGAAACCGUGACGGGGUCACCCCGAGUGCCACCCGAUGAGGGUGGCUUUUCCCCGGUCUAAAAAGCCGGGGGCAAUAAGCGGGGGGCAAGUCUGGUGUCAGCCGCCGCGGUAAUACCAGCCCCGCGAGUGGUCGGGACGUUUAUUGGGCCUAAAGCGUCCGUAGCCGGCUCGGUAAGUCCCUCCUUAAAUCCACGGGCUCAACCCGUGGGCUGGGAGGGAUACUGCCGGGCUAGGGGGCGGGAGAGGCCGAGGGUACUCCCGGGGUAGGGGCGAAAUCCGUUAAUCCCGGGAGGACCACCAGUGGCGAAGGCGCUCGGCUGGAACGCGCCCGACGGUGAGGGACGAAAGCUGGGGGAGCAAAGGGGAUUAGAUACCCGUGUAGU
rnacentral:rRNA from 1 species